AAUUACGCAGCUGCAGCAGUUGAAACUCCUCUUCCUCUUGUCUUGUUUUCAGGAUUGGAUGGACCCAGUAUCUAAGUGAACAAACACAAACCACGGAGCAUGUUUCUUUUGAGAAUCAAAGAGAGGAGAACUACUCAAGCUGAGGAUUCCCUUUAAGCAGCAGAGAUGACUUUCUCCAACACGUUAAACACAAAUAACAGCAUGGAUGAUGGGCUGGGAUUCAUUGUCUGUGCUCAGGGAGGAGUGCAGGAUAUGACUGGUGUGAUAAAUGAUCGUGCCUGGAGCCUGGCGUGACAAAGGAACUGCGGUACAAUCUGCAUGUGCUCCAUCCUUUCGCCAUCAUUAGGUGUAAUUGGGACUCAUGGCGAGGCGUGUUCCUUUUUCUGCUGUGGAAGUAUCGGCGAAUGAAGCUGCAACUCCUAAUAGGACAAGCUAGAGAAGGGAGACACGUCCAGGCCACUGCUACAGCACUGAGAGCAUGUCCCAGUAUCACAGCGCUGGCCUAAAUGAAAGCUCAACAGAUAUGUGCUUGUGUCAAAUCGCCUUAACUCUAAUGUCAGGUUGACUCUAUUUGUCAUGUCAAACUAAGGUUUUUGAUGUUGACCUUCAAAGGUGCACACACAGGGGGUGUUACUGGCACCUGCCUGAGAAGGAUGGAGCAUGUUCUUUCACUCGUGUGCAAAAAAAAAAACACAACACCCAGUGAAGCACUGAUUACACUGCUGCUCAUUAGCUAUAAUGGGGAUGCAUGUGGAAUUUACAGCAUUGUGUAACGAGGUUAAAACAGGCUCAUGAAUCCUAGCAUUCUCAGCACGGCACUAUUAUUCAUCAUUACGACAAGAAUAUCCAAACAACGCAGCUGAGCAUAUACAGUAAGUCGGGACUAAACUGGCAGAGUAAUAAUAAAUGUGGAGUGGUAAAUGAGCGCGCAAGUUGGCCCUGUUUGUCAACCAAACAGUCCAAAAACCCCCACAUGCUCUCUUCAAGUUCUAGCAGGUACACAAAGUCUUUGUUUCAUGACCUCAGUCUGUGUAUCCUUUCCCCUCCACUCGAAUCAAAGC